UACGUAGGGGGCUAGCGUUGUCCGGAAUCAUUGGGCGUAAAGCGCGUGUAGGCGGUUCGGUAAGUCCGCUGUGAAAGUCGGGGGCUCAACCCUCGAAUGCCGGUGGAUACUGUCGGACUAGAGUACGGAAGAGGCGAGUGGAAUUCCUGGUGUAGCGGUGAAAUGCGCAGAUAUCAGGAGGAACACCAAUUGCGAAAGGCAGCUCGCUGGGACGUUACUGACGCUGAGACGCGAAAGCGUGGGGAGCAAACAGG
rnacentral:rRNA from 1 species